rnacentral:rRNA from 1 species
GCCCUUGCCACACCACCCUGAACACGCCCAAUCUCAUCUGAUCUCAGAAGCUAAGCAGGAUUGGGCCUGGUUAGCACUUGGAUGGGAGACCUCCGAGGAAUACCAGGUGUCGUAGGCA